rnacentral:lncRNA from 1 species
UGCUCUAGUGUUAUCGGAGCAGUGUAAGAAGAAUGCAUGGAAAGACAAGAUGGUGGAGUAUCAAGAAGCCAUGCAGUUGAUCCCUUGUCCACAAAUCCUCCAUACAGAUCUAGAAAAUGCACGACUCAAUCCUGAUGGGGAAAUCCAGAAAAAGUCACAGGAGAGGCUCUGCACCAGGGCAAGAGGAUGCCUGCGAAUCAGGGGGCACUACCGAACCCUUAUUAGAUCCACAGCAGAUCGAAUGGGCCCUGUAGGGGGCCGAAGCCUAGAAGCUGGUGAGGGCCCUGAGGUCUUGGAGGGCCAUGGGGCACCUCCAAGGAAUUCACUCACAUUCUUGGAUGGGGCCUUAGGCCUGGGCAUACUAGGAGUCAGUGCUCGCCUGGUCCUGGCCCUGGCUGGUCCAGCUAUUAUGCUCCUGCUGCUGUUUCUAAUGUUGAGUUUCCUGACUUUUGACCUUAUCCAUGGGCCCCAGGAGUUGCCUCUGCCUCGAAGGCCAAUGUUUAGACCCCUUGGCCUGGGAGCAGGGGGUGAAGGCCCCCGCUUGCGAGAACCACUGCUCCCACCUACCCUGAGUCAUGUCCUGGAUGGAUUCCUUCUCCUUACAGGUCUAGGGCUGAUCCUGGGGGCUGUGAUGCCCUUCAGCAUCUUCAGCCUUAUAGUUAGCCUCUGGCCUCUGGCCUGA